ACUUCAAGUCUGCGGCUAGACUGGGAGUCCGUCCCUGAAGCUUUGUCCUAAUGUCUCGGAGUCUAAGAGGCCCUUGCAUCCUGGAACCAGAGAGGCUAAUCCUUGGGCAGGAGAAAGUGGAUGCUUACCUGUUUCCAGAUGUGGUAAAGGCCUGAGAAACCGACGGGGACAGACAUGCUCACUCUCCAAAUCAGAAGCCCAGCUUAGAAAGCACGUGUGAGCAAGUGCAAGCUUGGACAGCCCAGUUGCAUGAUCGCAAAUGGCCACAGUUCUGCGCUGCCUGUCCCCUGAGAGGUGGGUCUGUCCCCACCUUCAGCCUGGGGUAACCUGUGACCUGUCCUGACCUCUAGGAUGCCUGGAAGGGUCUGCGUGGCCCCCGAUGAGGCCUCGGAUCCUGCCAGCACCCAGCAUGUGACCAAGCCUGGGCUGGUCUGCUGACAAGUGACAGGCCCUGCUGAGGCAAAGACGACCUGUCCACUGCCCACCCACAGAAUCAAUAGCCACACCGUAGUUGCUUCCAGCCAGGUGUGUGGAAUGGCUUGUGGGACUGGAGUUUGCGUUGUUAUGCAGCUUAGGUGCAGAACGAGUCCUGGGGCUGGAGCUUCUCCAUCCAGGUGCCUUGAGACACUGAUCCCUCCAAGUGGCCUGGUUGGGUCUGGACCCCCUGGUACCCCCGCCUCAGCCCUCUCUGGACUUGAUGGCCUUGGGCUCCUUGGCAGGCAGCCCUGGUGGAGUGGGGCCUAGGGGCCCACCCUGAGGCCCUGCAGCCCUCGAGUCCUCUUCAGAAGCCCAGCUCCAUCUUGGCAAAGGGCCGGUGGUGCUGUGGGAGGAGCUAAGACGUCCACUUCAGUUUCAUCGAAUCUCUGUUAGUCUGCCCAGGCUACCGUAACAAAGUUCCACAAACUGGGGGGCUUAAAACAGGAGAACUUUAUUCUCUCCCAGCCCUGGAGACCAGAAGGCCAACAUCAACGUGUCCUGGGGUUGGAUCCUUUCUGCUUCUUGCAGCUUCUGGUGUCCCUUGGCUUGUGGCUACAUCACUCCAGUCUCUACCUGUUGUCACGUGGCUUCUCCUCUGUGUCCUUUCAUCUUGUAGGACGCUGGUCAUUGGGUUUAGGGUCCACCCGAAACCCAGGAUGACCUCAUUUUGAGAUUUUUUUUUUCCUCCCCAAAGCCCCUGUCUCAGUUGCCAUGCUGUGGUAGCAGCUCACGUAGAAGGAUCUACAACUAGAUGCAUACAACUAUGUGUGUGUCUAGUAUGUAUCUAGGUAGUGUGGUUCCGUGAUGGGAAGUGAACCCAGGCCAAAGCCGUGAGAGCGCCAAACUUUAACCUCUGGGCCAUCGGGGCUGGCACUUGAGAUCUUUAAUUAAUUCCAUCAGCAAAGACUUUAUUUCCAAAUAAGGUCGUGGUCUGAGGUUCUGCUCUAUGUGAAUUUGGGGGGACACUUCAAAUCAGUGCAGCACCCUUUUUCAUUUUGAUGAUGUGUACACAUUAGAAGCUGCCCAGGCAUCUUCGUCUCUGCCACGUGACAGCCCACGUGGCUGAUCCCUGUGCAUCGUGGAUCCUUCCUGCGUGCCCUCUGGGCCGCCCUCCCUGGGAGCAGAGCCCCUGGGCCUCACACAGCCUGGCCUGCUCGCCUGCUGCCCUCCCUCUCCCCCUGCCUCUACCUCUGCUCCAGCUGUUUCUUGGCCACAGUAAGGAUACUCUCGGACUCCGAGCUUUUGUGCUGCUGCUCCCUGUGACCCAAAUGCCCCUCACCAGGUACCUCAUGAGACGCCCUCCAGUUGGGGGGCGCGUCUCUGACCACCCGGUCAAAGACAGUCCCAUCCACGCGGGGCCCACCCUCGGCCUUGCCAGCCCCGUCUCACAGCUCAUGUGGCCUCCUGGUGUGCAUCGACUCCUGCUCCCACGUGGCCCCUCAUUGGUCUGGGCUGUGUCCCAAGGCCAGGACGGCACCAGCACAUGAGGCAUAAGGACAUAUAUCCUGGGUAGAUGGUAGUUCAGAUAAAUACAUAUACAUAUGUUGGAAUACAUGCCAAAAUAUUUACUAAUGGGGCACAACCAAACCCCGCUGAAUGGAGAGCUCUGCUCAGCAGCAAAAAGGGGCAGACUGCUGAGAGCACCGCCGCAGGUCAGCACCGGGCCUCCAUGCAGGUGGUGGUGUAGAGACGGGUGGGGUGGAGAAGAGAGCGGCGCUGGUCAGGGCUGGGCGGUGGGGAGGUGGCUGUGGCUCUGAAGGGCGGCCUGAGGGGUCAUUGUGAUGGAACUAUGUGUCCUGACUGUCGCCACGUGAAGCUACAUGUGAUAAAAUCUCACAGAACUUGGUGUUUAAUAAGUAGUGAAUUUCAGUUUGGGAAGAUGAAGUUCUGGAGAUGGAUGGUGGUGAUGGGUGCAAAACAGUGUGAAUGUGCUUAAUGCCACUGAGCUGUGCACUUAAAAAUGAUUAAAAGCUAAAUUUUAUGUACAUUUGACCACACUAAAAAAAAUUAAUAGAACUAAACACACACACACUCAAAUGCGCGUACACAUGCAUGUCCACACACAUGAGUGCAGCUGAGGUGGGAAGCCUGAGGUCCAUGGCCUGCACAGAGGUCAACGUCUGGCGUGAUCCUGCACGACAGUUCUGCAACUGUGCCCACUGGGGACACUGGUGAUGGGCACGUGGGCUCUGUUAUUUCCUACAACUGCAUGUGAACCCACAGCAGUCUCAGAAGGAAAAGGGAAGCGAAGACACUGGUGAGGCCGCUGUUCUCUGACAAGCCCCGUGGAGACCCAGGGAACAGGCUGGCAUCGUCCCCUCCACGUCCCCAGAGCUGUGCCUGGCACUCUUGAUUACCGUUUAUUGAAAGAAUGCACACAUGAGGUUAGAUGAACACAUAAACAAGUCCGUGUGCGGCCCACACACCCCUCGGCGUUAGGCCUCUGCAGAGAAUGUCCUUCCCAGAAGCCAGGGUGUCCCGUCCGUGGGCCCCACGAGGGUCAACGAGUCCACGCUGAGUGGCCUGGGAGUGGGCCAGAACUGUCUGCCAUUAAUGUUCAUGUUCGCAUUCUCGUUGUCCGGC
rnacentral:lncRNA from 1 species